rnacentral:rRNA from 1 species
UCCGUAAGGCGGUGCGGCAAGUCGGAAGUGAAAUCUCUGGGCUUAAACCCAGAGGCUGCUUCCGAAACUGCCGUGCUAGAGUGCGAGAGAGGCGAGUGGAAUUGCGGGUGUAGCGGUGAAAUGCGUAGAUAUCCGCAGGAACAUCCGAGGCGAAGGCGGCUCGCUGGAUCGCAACUGACGCUGAGGGACGAAAGCUAGGGGAGCAAACAGGAUUAGAUACCCUGGUAGUCCUAGCCCUAAACCAUCAGGACUUGGGGUUUGCCCUGUACGGGGCAAGUCCCGUAGCUAACGCGUUAAGUCCUGCGCCUGGGGAGUACGGUCGCCAAGGCUGAA